CAUUUUUGUUUCUCUGUUCUACGUGAUUCACAUGGAGGUGCAAUAAAGAUGCACAAGGAUUUUGCCGGAAUCGAUUGGGAAAAGGAGGAUGCUUGUUAAGUGCAGUUGAAGGAUCUGUUAAAAUCCUUAGGAGCUAUUCGUCCGAUAGAGAAUGGACUGGGAAACCUCUCUAAUAUUGCAUCUUUAUUAUGUUCUUGCAGGAAAUCUUAAGUCGUCCUGUAAUUGGACCCCUUUUGGGCCAGAGUUAUUGGGAAUAACGAUGUAAACGAACCAAACAAGCUCCGAAGUCCAAUGCUGUUACCCAAGCGCUCAUGUCAAUUAGGCUAGACACGUAAAUUAAAGGCAUUGCGAAGGCGCUCCAGAAGUUCGCUGGGAUGGCUGCGACUAUGCAAAUUCUUCUGAAGAAAGCGUGAACAAGACCCUACAAACAAAGGGGCAGCGGAAGCUACUAAAUUGAAGACACUAAAGUUCAUUAUUUUUCAUCUCAUGUAAUGAAAGAAUGAUAUUAAUUUCAUUUAUUCUGAUCCUUUGUUGUAUCGUUUUGUUAACCUUGAA